AUUGAACGCUGGCGGCAGGCUUAACAAAUGCAAGUCGAACGAGUGGCGGACGGGUGAGUAAUGCUUGGGAAUCUAGCUUAUGGAAGGGGAUAACUACGGGAAACUGUAGCUAAUAACGCGUAACAUAGGAUUAGCCCAAGUGGGAUUAGGUAGUUGGUGAGGGAAAGGCUCACCAAGCCGACGAUCUCUAGCUGGUCUGAGAGGAUGACCAGCCACACUGGGACUGAGACACGGCCCAGACUCCUACUGGAGGCAGCAGUGGGGAAUAUUGCGCAAUGGGGGCAACCUGACGCAGCCAUGCCGCGUGAAUGAAGAAGGCCUUCGGGUUGUAAAGUUCUUUCGGUAGCGAGGCGUUAACUACAGAAGAAGCACCGGCUAACUCCGUGCCAGCAGCCGCGGUAAUAC
rnacentral:rRNA from 1 species